GGAUAGCUAUACAUGCAGUCGAGCGGACUGAUUAAGAGCUUGCUCUUAUGACGUUAGCGGCGGACGGGUGAGUAACACGUGGGCAACCUGCCCUGUAGAUCGGGAUAACACCGAGAAAUCGGUGCUAAUACCGGGUAAUAUCUGAGAUCACAUGAUCUUAGGUUAAAAGAUGGCUCCGGCUAUCACUACAGGAUGGGCCCGCGGCGCAUUAGCUAGUUGGUAAGGUAAUGGCUUACCAAGGCGACGAUGCGUAGCCGACCUGAGAGGGUGAUCGGCCACACUGGGACUGAGACACGGCCCAGACUCCUACGGGAGGCAGCAGUAGGGAAUCUUCCGCAAUGGACGAAAGUCUGACGGAGCAACGCCGCGUGAGUGAUGAAGGGUUUCGGCUCGUAAAGCUCUGUUGUUAGGGAAGAACAAGUAUCGUUCGAAUAGGGCGGUACCUUGACGGUACCUAACCAGAAAGCCACGGCUAACUACGUGCCAGCAGCCGCGGUAAUACGUAGGUGGCAAGCGUUGUCCGGAAUUAUUGGGCGUAAAGCGCGCGCAGGCGGUCUUUUAAGUCUGAUGUGAAAGCCCCCGGCUCAACCGGGGAGGGUCAUUGGAAACUGGGAGACUUGAGUACAGAAGAGGAGAGUGGAAUUCCACGUGUAGCGGUGAAAUGCGUAGAUAUGUGGAGGAACACCAGUGGCGAAGGCGACUCUCUGGUCUGUAACUGACGCUGAGGCGCGAAAGCGUGGGGAGCAAACAGGAUUAGAUACCCUGGUAGUCCACGCCGUAAACGAUGAGUGCUAGGUGUUAGGGGUUUCGAUGCCCUUAGUGCCGAAGUUAACACAUUAAGCACUCCGCCUGGGGAGUACGACCGCAAGGUUGAAACUCAAAGGAAUUGACGGGGGCCCGCACAAGCAGUGGAGCAUGUGGUUUAAUUCGAAGCAACGCGAAGAACCUUACCAGGUCUUGACAUCCUUUGACCACUCUAGAGAUAGAGCUUUCCCCUUCGGGGGACAAAGUGACAGGUGGUGCAUGGUUGUCGUCAGCUCGUGUCGUGAGAUGUUGGGUUAAGUCCCGCAACGAGCGCAACCUUUGAUCUUAGUUGCCAGCAUUUAAGUUGGGCACUCUAAAGGUGACUGCCCGGUGACAAA
rnacentral:rRNA from 2 species